GCGGUCGUGGUGUAGCCUGGUAAACACGUCUCCCUGUCACGGAGAAGAUCGUGGGUUCAAAUCCCAUCUACCGCG
rnacentral:tRNA from 1 species